rfam:Stegodyphus mimosarum contig108445, whole genome shotgun sequence.
GCCUUCGUGGUGUAGUGGUCAGCACGCUCGGCGCGUAUUCGAGAGGUCCGUGGUUCGAGUCCUGGGAGGGCA